UUUCCGUAGGUGAACCUGCGGAAGGAUCAUUAUUGUAUAACCGAGGUUCGGGGCCUGCCGCUCACCCGUUAGGUCGCGCACGCCUGAGUGCCCUCACACACAUCUAUCCCCCCCCUAUGUGCACCACCGCGUGGGUCCCCCUUUGGCUUGUUCGGAGGGUGGUCUACGUUUUCAAACAAUCUUUGAAUGUAGUUUAGUAUGUAUUUUUUGCUUUUGUAAUCACAAAAUCUUCACAACUUUCAACAAUGGUUCUCUUCUCUUUCGCAUCCAUGAAGAACG
rnacentral:misc_RNA from 1 species